GCUUAAAUAAUUAUUUUAGUUACGUGUAAUUUAUUUCAACUCCUUCCUUACGACUUCUAUGCGUGCGUCUCGAGAAUCUUUUAGGAGAGCUUCCAUAACUUGUGAGACUGUACUCAGUCUCUCUUAGUCUUUCUUAUUCUCAUUUACCUUCGCCUUCUUCUUAGCCUUUGGCUUCUUUUCUUCCUUCGACUUGCAUGUGUUAAGCAUAUAGCUAGC
rnacentral:misc_RNA from 1 species